rnacentral:rRNA from 1 species
UACGGAGGAUGCGAGCGUUAUCCGGAUUUAUUGGGUUUAAAGGGUGCGUAGGCGGACUGUUAAGUCAGCGGUAAAAGCCCGGGGCUCAACCCCGGCGAGCCGUUGAAACUGGCUGUCUUGAGAUGUCGAGAGGUAUGCGGAAUGCGCAGUGUAGCGGUGAAAUGCUUAGAUAUUGCGCAGAACUCCGAUUGCGAAGGCAGCAUACCGGCGGCGAUCUGUCGCUGAGGCACGAAAGCGUGGGUAUCGAACAGG